rnacentral:lncRNA from 1 species
GUAGUUCACUGUUUAAAGGGAAAACAUGAGUCAAGAGCACCAACGAAUUUUUGCUUCUGCCAAGUGUUCAAUCGCAAUGCUUUGCAACAGAUUAGUUCUGGUUGGUGACACUGGCACCUACUACACACCUUUCCAUUGCAUUGGCAUAGCUUCAACUGGCACUUGCAGAUGAGGGUCUGAAAAGUGAGAGCCGCACAUUGGAAUGUUCCCUUUAGCAGUGGACCACACUGAAAGUCCGUUAUGCUCGGACUUAGUACUUGGAAAGUCUGGUCAGUUUGGUUCCCUGUAGAGGCCGUCCCUGGUAAUGCUGUGAAGUCAAUCGCUCCAGCAUUGAGCCUACUGUCUGUAGAGUAGAAGGCUGAUCCAUUGAUUCAUGCCACACAGUCCAUUGCAACACUGUGAACAAUCGGGGCAGUGCUCAAUGCAGUCUGCAAUGUUAGAUUAGUGCAAUGCAGUAAAUAUGUGCCAAGUUAACUCAUUAGUCGUGCAGGAUUAUCGCCUGCAGUAAACAUCAAUUCACUGCAUUCAGAGGACUGAGGAUUAGCCAGUCAGGCUUUUAUCUUAGUGCAAUCCUUAACAAUUACACUGUACUAGUCGCAGAGUGUAACAGCAGUCUGCAGCGAAAUGUUGGCAAUAAAGAGAAGUGUUUAAAAAAUCU